CCUACGGGAGGCAGCAGUGGGGAAUAUUGGGCAAUGGGCGCAAGCCUGACCCAGCAACGCCGCGUGAAGGAAGACGGCUUUCUGGUUGUAAACUUCCUUUUAGCGGGAAGAGCAGAACGCGGUACCUCUUGAAUCAGCCACGGCUAACUACGUGCCAGCAGCCGCGGGAAUACGUAGGUCGCAAGCGUUGUCCGGAUUUACUGGGUGUAAAGGGCGUGUAGCCGGGAAGACAAGUCAUGUGUGAAAUCCCGGGGCUCAACCACGGACCAGCAUUUGAAACUGGUGGUCUUGAGUACCGGAGAGGGAAGCGGAAUUCGUUGUGUAGCGGUGAAAUGCGUAGAUAUAAGGAAGAACACCAGUGGCGAAGGCGGAUUACUGGACGGCAACUGACGCUGAGGCACGAAAGCGUGGGGAGCGAACAGGAUUAGAUACCCCUGUAGUC
rnacentral:rRNA from 1 species